rnacentral:rRNA from 1 species
UACGAAGGGAGCUAGCGUUGUUCGGAAUUACUGGGCGUAAAGGGCGCGUAGGCGGCUUCGAUAGUCGGGCGUGAAAUGCCUGGGCUCAACCCAGGAAUUGCGCUCGAUACUGCGAGGCUUGAGUGUGGGAGAGGAUAGUGGAAUUCCCAGUGUAGAGGUGAAAUUCGUAGAUAUUGGGAAGAACACCAGCGGCGAAGGCGGCUAUCUGGACCACAACUGACGCUGAGGCGCGAAAGCGUGGGGAGCAAACAGG